AUACGGAGGAUGCGAGCGUUAUCCGGAUUUAUUGGGUUUAAAGGGUGCGUAGGCUGUUUGUCAAGUCAGGGGUGAAAUACCUGGGCUCAACCGAGGAAUUGCCUUUGAUACUGGCAGGCUUGAAUACUGUUGCCGGGGGAGGAAUGAGUAGUGUAGCGGUGAAAUGCAUAGAUAUUACUCAGAACACCGAUUGCGAAGGCAUCUCACGAAACAGCGAUUGACGCUGAGGCACGAAAGCGUGGGGAUCAAACAGGAUUAGAUACCCUGGUAGUCCACGCAGUAAACGAUGAUAACUAACCGUUGGCGAUAGACAGUCAGUGGCCAAGCGAAAGCGAUAAGUUAUCCACCUGGGGAGUACGGCCGCAAGGUUAAAACUCAAAGGAAUUGACGGGG
rnacentral:rRNA from 1 species